rnacentral:rRNA from 1 species
GAUGAACGCUAGCUACAGGCUUAACACAUGCAAGUCGAGGGGUAACAAGAGAAAAGCUUGCUUUUCUUGUUGACGACCGGCGCACGGGUGAGUAACGCGUAUCCAACCUGCCUAUAACUAGGGAAUAACCUUGCGAAAGUAAGACUAAUACCCUAUGAUUUCCUUUGAUGACAUCAGAUUAGGAAUAAAGAUUUAUCGGUUAUAGAGGGGGAUGCGUCUGAUUAGCUUGUUGGCGGGGUAACGGCCCACCAAGGCAACGAUCAGUAGGGGUUCUGAGCGGAAGGUCCCCCAAAUUGGAACUGAGACACGUUCCAAACUGCUACGGGAGGCAGCAGUGAGGAAUAUUGGUCAAUGGGCUGAAGCCUGAACCAGCCAAGUAGCGUGCAGGAUGACGGCCCUAUGGGUUGUAAACUGCUUUUAUACAGGAAUAAAGUUAGCCACGUGUGGUUAUUUGUAGGUACUGUAUGAAUAAGGACCGGCUAAUUCCGUGCCAGCCGCCGCCGUAA